GAAAUUUGUAUCCUUUUUGUAGCUGUUGACACACUAUUAGAAGCAGUACAGUUUAUAUACCUUCAACAACAAAACAAUGCGGAACGAAACCUGUGGAUUUGCUGAUUAUGUUUCCCGAUGGAACUAUGAGAAGUGUGUCUUGGAACCAUUUGAGAAAUGUCGAUCUCAGAAAAACAAGGUGUACAACCAGGACCUACAGUCAAGGAAAGUGUAGAACACUGUCGUCUUCGCUCUUCUACUAUAAGAUAAGAGAUAAGCAUGCUGGACGUGGAGUUGCGGAGACCUGGACUAUGGAGACGUAGCUUGAGGCACGGAGAUGAUUUUGAUUGGCUAGCGGUCAUUCUGCGAAUUAGAUGGCAAUGGCGAUCAGUUCGCGGGGCUUGUUCUGAACGACAUUUGCGUGUUACAAAACAAACAAAGUUUGCAGUAC